rnacentral:lncRNA from 1 species
CUCCUAUCAGUGCUUGGUACCAGCAUGAGCUAACUUUAUGCCUCAAAUCAAUAGGACAAUUUGCUGAGGUCUGAGAGCACCCCCUCCAGAGAAUCUCUGAUCUCUCAAAAUGUGGUCGAGAUCAUAAGUUUAUUUUGCUGUACAACUCCUCUCUUUUUUUUUUUUUUUUUUUUUUUUGGAGUUUUAUUCGCUUCCAACACAAGGAAAGCAAGUUUUUUCUGCUUCUUUGAUGAUGGAAGGCAGGUAACUCCUUUAUGGAGUUUGAGCUCACUUCUAACAGGGAAGAUGAGUUGUUGUUCUUUUCCCCUGCUUCUAGGAUGGUAGAGAGCAGUCUUCAGCCUGAGACCCAUUCCUUAGAGUCUCGAUCUGUUGCCAGGCUAGAGUGCAGUGGCGUGAUCUCGGCUCACUGCAACCUCCACCUCCUGGGUUCAAGUGAUUCUCCUGCCUCAGCCUCCCGAGUAGCUGGGCCUACAGGUGCGCAGCACCACACUCAGAGCCUUAAAACUUUUCUUUUGAGCUAUUGACAGCUUUUAACAGUUCAGUAUAAUUCUAUGAACAAAAUUUGGAGCAUAUUUGUUUCUCUCUACAUAAUUUCUCCAGAAUUUGGAAACUAUUUGCACAGAAGCCCCAGGUUUAUCUUGGAAUGUCAACAGGAGAGGAAAUUCACUCAACUCACAGGUAUUUGAUGACACAUAUCUAUGGCUGGGCUUGGCUUUAAAAAGUCUUACCUGAGAUUCCUCUUAUGGAGGAAGUUCCACCAAAGCCAAUUUAAAAGCCUGUGUAAAAAAUAAUUAUUCUCGCUGCACUGUAGGCAAAUAAUUAGGCCAAGUGUAAUAAAGCAAACCAGUUCUAGCAUGAUUUAUCUUUAGUAAAAAUGGGAAACUGGAGAAAAAUUUUUUCAAAACUAUAGUACACCUGUUGUUAGAUUCUAGUCUUGCCUAAUGUUUUUUCAAUUUUUAUUAUUUUCUACAGUUUGAACCAAAUUCUAAUUUUUCUUGGCUACAAGUCUUCAAAAUAAUAUUUUCAGGUUUUUUCUUUUUUUUCCAUUUUGCCCAAUUUGGAGUCACUGAAAACUCAGCUGUGCUUUCUUAAAGCCCUGUGAACUGAAGCUAAACAACUCAAACCUCAGAAGAAAAUAACAGUAACCUAUUUACAUACAUAAGCCACUUUCAUACCUGCCUACUAAUGUAUGAACUUUAGAGUAAUGUGGCCUAUCUCAAUUUUUCCAGGAUUGUUCUUUUGUUUGUUGUUGUUUUUCUCCCUUCCUCCCCGCAUUUUCUCUUUAUAGGACAUGAGACUUCACAACCUGCUAAAAAUGGGCUUUUGAGGCCUACCCGUCUAGGAAUAAACUGUCCUUGCCAUGAGAGAUCAGAUGAAACCUGAGACCAGAGAUUCACUUUCUUCUAAAAUGCUUUCUCCAAAAGAUUUUUAAAAAGAAAAGGGGGGAAAUGUGAAAGGAAAAUAUCUUGGCCCCCUCAAGCUGGGAACCACUCAGGGCAAACCUGUCGCCCAUUCUAUUCAAAGUCAUCCCUCUGCUCACAGAGAUAGACGCAUAUUCUGAUUGCCUCCUUUGAAAAGACUGAUCAGAAACUCAAAAGAAUCUCCCAUAGAUCUGUGACCUGGAAACCUGGGGGUGCGAGGGACGGGGUGGGGCGAGGGUUGCUUUGAGUUGUCCCCGCCUUUCUGGACGGAACUAAUGUACUACUUACAUAUAUUGAUUGAUGUCUCAUGUCUCCGUAAAAUGUAUAAACACAUGCCUGUGCCCCGACCACCUUGGACACAUGUCAUCAGGACUUCCUGAGGCUGUGUCACGGGCCCGUCCUCAACCUUGGCAAAAUAAAUUUUCUAAAUUAACUGAG